CCGAGUUUACAACUCCCAAACCCCUGUGAACAUACCAAUUGUUGCCUCGGCGGAUCAGCCCGCUCCCGGUAAAACGGGACGGCCCGCCAGAGGACCCCUAAACUCUGUUUCUAUAUGUAACUCCUGAGUAAAACCAUAAAUAAAUCA
rnacentral:misc_RNA from 1 species